rnacentral:tRNA from 1 species
GCGGGGAUGGCCCAGCCUGGUAAGGCGCAGGAUUGCUAAUCCUGUGGGCUUUGCCCUCGUGGGUUCAAAUCCCACUCCCCGCGCUA